CCCUUAGAUGUUCUGGGCCGCACGCGCGCUACACUGAUGCAUUCAACGAGUCUAAAACCUGGUCUGAUAGGGCUGGGUAAUCUUUUGAAAGUGCAUCGUGAUUGGGAUAGAUGAUUGCAAUUCUUCAUCUUCAACGAGGAAUGCCUAGUAAACGCAAGUCAUCAGCUUGCAUUGAUUACGUCCCUGCCCUUUGUACACACCGCCCGUCGCUCCUACCGAUUGAAUGAUCCGAUGAAUACCAUGGAUUGAGAGUACGAAUGGGUUCGCUCAUUUCUGCUGCUCGAGAAGUGGAGUAAAUCUGAUCAUUUAGAGGAAGGAGAAGUCGUAACA
rnacentral:rRNA from 1 species